ensembl:lncRNA
GUGAGUGGCAAACGGACCCCUUAAAGCACCGCUAUGCUAAGCUAAGCUAGCUGGAAGAGUUGCUAGUUCAACAUAUUCCACUCGGUGUAAUUCUGCCUCCAAGGUGAUCAGAUGUGUGUAGUUUUGUGUUUAAAAUAACAUUAACAAUAGACAACAGUGUCUAAAUAGUAUAUAUAUAUAUAAUAUAUAUAAGAUGAACGAAUUCCAAAAUGUGCGAUUAAUUAGUUACAUUUUUAAUCCAUCGACAGCCCUAAUAUACAUAUACAUGUACAUAUAUGUUUAUAUGUACAUGUAUAUACCUUAUGUGCACUGACCAGCUCCUCUGACUGUUCUUCAUCUACUCAUCAAUUUCCUCCGUCCCACCUUCACCUGUGCAGGUGUCCCCGGUCCGGAGGAGAUAAGUCCCGAGCUCCCACUCUGUGUCUGGUGUGCGGCUCCAUGUUGUGUUCUCAGAGUUACUGCUGUCAGACGGAGGUGGACGGAGAGGACGUAGGUGCCUGCACCGCCCACACCUUCACCUGUGGAGCCGGCCUUGGUCUCUUCCUCAGUGUGUCAUCAGACAUUUGAUCAAUUGAAGCAGUGAAACGUGGAACAUGAAAAGUGUCAAAUAAACCAACUGAACUUUAUGAAGAACACAACAUGCAGCGGCUUCCCUUUAUCAGUGAGGAAGAGAGCUGCCUUGUUUUCCGGGGGAGUGGCGAAUUAAUCCAGCCGCUCAAAUGAAGCUGCGCCGGAGCAGGUUCAAGUUUGUGGAUGUGUUGCUGUGGUGAUUUGAACCGAAAAGCCUGAUCCUUGUCAUCUUAUCCGGCUAACGCAGCUAGCCACGGUAAGAGAAAGUCAGGUGCUGUUUGUAGCAGGUAAAACAAAGGGCUGCUUCUAUCCUCCUCCGUACCUGGACGACUACGGGGAGACGGACCAGGGCCUCAAGCGGGGGAACCCCCUCCACCUCUGCGUUGAGCGCUACAGGAAGAUUGAGCGUCUGUGGCGUCAGCACGGCAUCGCUGAGGUCAUAGGUCACGCUCAGGAGGCCAAUCAAACGCUGGUAGCCAUCGACUGGCAGCACCUGUGAUGAUUGGCUCCUCUCUGCGUUUGCCCCGCCCCUUUUCAGUUACUGCGCCGCAUGUUAACAAAUCAGCUUCCUGCAGCCCAGUGCUGACUUCAGAUCAGCGUUCAGGGAUUCUUUCAGGACUUUUGGUUUCGGUGUGAUAGAGGAUCUUUACCAUUGACAUCUCACCGUGUCUGUUUCCCUCCAGUACUCAGACUGUUCCCCCUUUAUUCUUGCUCACACAGACACACAUUUACGAACAUUUCUUUUUUAAAUAGUUUUUUAUUGAUUUUUUUCAAAUUUUCAUUUGUUUCAGAAAAUGAUCCGACAAAAUGAAAAAUCAUUACUUCAACUCAUUAACAUUGUACCAGAAUGAAGCCCCGCCCACCUGCUGCUGUCCCACACAGGUUGAUUGUCAGGUUAGGGUCUUUAAUCUUGAAUCCCGGAUUCAGAAAAUGCUUCAACCCCCAAGAUGCAUCUCAUCAACAAAGAGCUUUAAGAAGCUAAAGGUAACCCUUUGUAGAACCCUUCAGGAACAUUGCGGCCUUGUCUCCAUGGCAAUAUCAGCUGAGGCUCCUGGGUAUUGUUAGUAUUUACAAAAUAAGAACGGUGUAUGUGAAGGCUCUUAUUGUUAAAUCACCACGUCGUCUCUUAAGAAACGUGUAACCAUGGUUGCCACUGUGAUCAAUUACUGAUUGGUGAGUCAUACAUUUGUGUUUCCAUGGCCACACCCUCCCAGAAUUCAGUGCUGCUGCAUAACGGAAAUUGAAAAAGGAUUGUUCCUAUUCAUCGGUUCACAGCAAGCUGACCCUUUGUGGUCCACGGGUUUGUUUUGGUGAGCUGUGAUGUCCCUUCCUCUUUUUUUAUGAGUUUGCUGAAAUUUGAAGAGUCAAACACAAACUGAAAUCUUUCAUUUAUUUAUUUAUUUAUUUAUUAGUUUCUUAUAAAAAUCUGAUUUCCCUUUAAACUCUUGAGUUUGAAAUAUUUUCUUUUUUAUAAGUUUAAAUAAAAAGUGGCCUCAUCUUCCUUAUCUUCAUUUUUCAGACUUGUUAAUAUGUGAAUUAUUGUAUAAAUGAGUAAAUGUACAAUAUUGUAUAAGAAUAACAAAACCAUUAAAC